UACAGAGACUGCAAGCGUUAUUCGGAUUCACUGGGCGUAAAGGGUUCGCAGGCGGCCGUGUGUGUCAGGUGUGAAAGCCCGGAGCUUAACUCCGGAAUUGCGCCUGAAACUACAUGGCUAGAGCAUUGGAGGGGGUAGCGGAAUUCACGGUGUAGCAGUGAAAUGCGUAGAUAUCGUGAGGAACACCAGAGGCGAAGGCGGCUACCUGGACAAUUGCUGACGCUCAGGCACGAAAGCGUGGGGAGCAAAAGGG
rnacentral:rRNA from 1 species